AUCGGGCUGACGAGUCCCAAAUAAAACGAAACGCGCGUCCUGGAU
rnacentral:hammerhead_ribozyme from 1 species